rnacentral:rRNA from 1 species
CCAUUUAGAGGAAGUAAAAGUCGUAACAAGGUCUCCGUUGGUGAACCAGCGGAGGGAUCAUUACCGAGUUUACAACUCCCAAACCCCUGUGAACAUACCACUUGUUGCCUCGGCGGAUCAGCCCGCUCCCGGUAAAACGGGACGGCCCGCCAGAGGACCCCUAAACUCUGUUUCUAUAUGUAACUUCUGAGUAAAACCAUAAAUAAAUCAAAACUUUCAACAACGGAUCUCUUGGUUCUGGCAUCGAUGAAGAACGCAGCAAAAUGCGAUAAGUAAUGUGAAUUGCAGAAUUCAGUGAAUCAUCGAAUCUUUGAACGCACAUUGCGCCCGCCAGUAUUCUGGCGGGCAUGCCUGUUCGAGCGUCAUUUCAACCCUCAAGCACAGCUUGGUGUUGGGACUCGCGUUAAUUCGCGUUCCCCAAAUUGAUUGGCGGUCACGUCGAGCUUCCAUAGCGUAGUAGUAAAACCCUCGUUACUGGUAAUCGUCGCGGCCACGCCGUUAAACCCCAACUUCUGAAUGUUGACCUCGGAUCAGGUAGGAAUACCCGCUGAACUUAAGCAUAUCAAUAAGCCGGG